UACAGAGGGGGCAAGCGUUGUUCGGAAUUACUGGGCGUAAAGGGCGCGUAGGUGGCCUUCUAAGUUGAACGUGAAAUCCCUGGGCUCAACCCAGGAACUGCGUCCAAGACUGGGAGGCUUGAAUCCGGGAGAGGGAUGCGGAAUUCCAGGUGUAGCGGUGAAAUGCGUAGAUAUCUGGAGGAACACCGGUGGCGAAGGCGGCAUCCUGGACCGGUAUUGACGCUGAGGAGCGAAAGCCAGGGGAGCAAACGGG
rnacentral:rRNA from 1 species